ACUCCUACGGGAGGCAGCAGUGGGGAAUAUUGCACAAUGGGGGAAACCCUGAUGCAGCGACGCCGCGUGCGGGAUGAAGGCCUUCGGGUUGUAAACCGCUUUCAGCAGGGGCGAAUCAAGACGGUACCUGCAGAAGAAGCGCCGGCUAACUACGUGCCAGCAGCCGCGGUAAUACGUAGGGCGCGAGCGUUGUCCGGAAUUAUUGGGCGUAAAGAGCUCGUAGGCGGCCUGUUGCGUCCGCUGUGAAAUCCCGGGGCUUAACCCCGGGCGUGCAGUGGAUACGGGCAGGCUGGAGGCAGGCAGGGGAGAACGGAAUUCCCGGUGUAGCGGUGAAAUGCGCAGAUAUCGGGAGGAACACCGGUGGCGAAGGCGGUUCUCUGGGCCUGUACUGACGCUGAGGAGCGAAAGCGUGGGGAGCGAACAGGAUUAGAUACCCUGGUAGUCCACGCCGUAAACGUUGGGCGCUAGGUGUGGGUCCCUUCCACGGGGUCUGUGCCGCAGCUAACGCAUUAAGCGCCCCGCCUGGGGAGUACGGCCGCAAGGCUAAAACUCAAAGAAAUUGACGGGGGCCCGCACAAGCGGCGGAGCAUGUUGCUUAAUUCGACGCAACGCGAAGAACCUUACCAAGGUUUGACAUGGGCCGAAAACUCGCAGAGAUGCGGGGUCCUUCGGGGCGGUUCACAGGUGGUGCAUGGCUGUCGUCAGCUCGUGUCGUGAGAUGUUGGGUUAAGUCCCGCAACGAGCGCAACCCUCGUCCAAUGUUGCCAGCGGGUAAUGCCGGGGACUCAUUGGAGACUGCCGGGGUCAACUCGGA
rnacentral:rRNA from 1 species